UCCUGGCUGUAAACGAUGCCCACUUGGUGUGUCACUCCUCUCGGGGAGUGACGUGCCGUAGCGAAGGUGUUAAGUGGGCCACCUGGGGAGUACGGUCGCAAGGCUGAAACUUAAGGGAAUUGGCGGGGGAGCACCUCAAGGAGUGGAGGCUGCGGUUCAAUUGGAUUCAACGCCAGACAUCUCACCAGAGGAGACAGCAGAAUGAGGGUCACUCUGAAGGGGUUACCUGACAAGCUGAGAGGAGCUGCAUGGCCAUCGUCAGCUCGUGCUGUGAAGCGUGCGGUUAAGUCCGUUAACG
rnacentral:rRNA from 1 species